GUCGAGAAUCUUUAGCAAUGGGCGAAAGCCUGACUAUGCGACGCCGCGUGAGGGAUGAAGGUCUUCGGAUUGUAAACCUCUUUCGAUCAGGAAGAAAAUAUUCUGGCUAAUACUCAGAAGGUUGACGUUACUGAGAGAAGAAGCCACGGCCAACUCCGUGCCAGCAGCCGCGGUAAUACGGAGGUGGCAAGCGUUACUCGGAUUCACUGGGUGUAAAGGGCAGGUAGGUUUCCCUGUAAGUGAGUGGUGAAAUCCUUCGGCUCAAUCGAAGAAUUGCCAUUCAUACUGCGGGGAUUGAGUGUGGGAGAGGAAAGCGGAACUCUCGGUGUAAGGGUGAAAUCUGUUGAUAUCGAGAGGAACACCUGUAGCGAAAGCGGCUUUCUGGACCACAACUGACACUGAGCUGCGAAAGCUAGGGGAGCAAACAGGAUUAGAUACCCCAGUAGUCC
rnacentral:rRNA from 1 species